rnacentral:lncRNA from 1 species
UUGUUUUUUCUUUUUCUUUUUCUUUUUUUUUUUUAAGCUUCCCUUGAGAGAAUAAAUGGUAAUGGAGAGAACUAUUUAACAAGGUCCUGGUUUCUCUUGCAACACAGUAGCUAAACUUGCCUGCUUUUAUGUGCGUUUUUGUAGGGAUCAGCUUGGUAGACAGUAUUAGCAGAGAAAUGACACCUUGAUCUUGGUUUGCAAGCACUUCUCCCAUCAGUCCUAGAUUAGGCCCUGUUCAGCCAUGCAGGGGUGUUGGUUUAUGUGUGCUGCAGCAGUGGGCAUAAUGAAUAUAAU